CCUACGGGAGGCAGCAGUAAGGAAUAUUGGGCAAUGGAGGCAACUCUGACCCAGCCAUGCCGCGUGAAGGAUGAAGGCCCUAUGGGUUGUAAACUUCUUUUGUACGGGAAUAAACCUGGUUACGUGUAACCAGUUGAAUGUACCGUAAGAAUAAGCACCGGCUAACUCCGUGCCAGCAGCCGCGGUAAUACGGAGGGUGCAAGCGUUAUCCGGAUUUAUUGGGUUUAAAGGGAGCGUAGGCGGGAUUGUAAGUCAGUGGUGAAAGCCCGUAGCUCAACUACGGAACUGCCAUUGAUACUGCAGACCUAGAGUACACUUGAAGUGGGCGGAAUGUGUCAUGUAGCGGUGAAAUGCUUAGAUAUGACACAGAACACCAAUUGCGAAGGCAGCUCACUAAAUUGUAACUGACGCUGAGGCUCGAUAGCGUGGGGAUCAAACAGGAUUAGAUACCCUGGUAGUCCACGCCGUAAACGAUGAUUACUCGAUGUUGGCGAUACACUGUCNGCGUCUGNGCGAAGACGAGUAAGUAAGUACCGACCGUACGGGUAAGGUACGGUCGUUCGAGACGUUAGAACGUACGAAGUUAGAGUUAGACGGCGUUGAGACGNGCGACGGACGACGACGAGGGAGGAGG
rnacentral:rRNA from 1 species